rnacentral:tRNA from 1 species
GCCAAGGUGGUCUAGUGGUUAGAACGCUGGCCUUGUAAUCCUGGGGUCUCGGGUUCGAUUCCCGGCGGUGCCC